AUUGAACGCUGGCGGCAGGCCUAACACAUGCAAGUCGAACGAGUGGCGGACGGGAGAGUAACGUCGGGGAAACUGCCUGAUGGCGGGGGAUAACUACUGGAAACGGUAGCUAAUACCGCAUACCAUCGGAUGUGCCCAGUUGGGAUUAGCUAGUAGUUGGGGUAACGGCUCACCUAGGCGACGAGCCCUAGCUGGUCUGAGAGGAUGACCAGCCACACUGGAACUGAGACACGGUCCAGACUCCUACGGGAGGCAGCAGUGGGGAAUAUUGCACAAUGGGCUCAAGCCUGAUGCAGCCAUGCCGCGUGUAUGAUGAAGGCCUUCGGGUUGUAAAGUACUUUCAGCGGGGAGGCGUUACCCGAAGAAGAAGCACCGGCUAACUCCGUGCCAGCAGCCGCGGUAAUUC
rnacentral:rRNA from 1 species